rnacentral:rRNA from 1 species
UACGGAGGGAGCUAGCGUUGUUCGGAAUUACUGGGCGUAAAGCGCACGUAGGCGGCUUUGUAAAGUUAGAGGUGAAAGCCCGGGGCUCAACCCCGGAAUUGCCUUUAAGACUGCAUCGCUUGAAUCCAGGAGAGGUGAGUGGAAUUCCGAGUGUAGAGGUGAAAUUCGUAGAUAUUCGGAAGAACACCAGUGGCGAAGGCGGCUCACUGGACUGGUAUUGACGCUGAGGUGGCGAAAAGCGUGGGGAGCAAACAGG